rnacentral:lncRNA from 1 species
AAGACUCUCCAAGGGAAGCAAAAGGAUGAGGUGUUACCGGUUACUGGGUAACAAGCUCAGGAAGAAUGAAUAUCUAAGACCGGUAUAAGGGUGAGAAUAUCAAUCAACCAAAUCAUCUGAGAAAGACCUAAAAAUGUAUGUUUCAACUCAAGAAAAUCUGACUCCACAGGGGACCGAGGUCAUAAUAGGGAGCAGAAAGGAAGGAACACCAGGG